GGGGGACCUUCGGGCCUCUUGCCAUCAGAUGUGCCCAGAUGGGAUUAGCUUGUUGGUGAGGUAACGGCUCACCAAGGCGACGAUCCCUAGCUGGUCUGAGAGGAUGACCAGCCACACUGGAACUGAGACACGGUCCAGACUCCUACGGGAGGCAGCAGUGGGGAAUAUUGCACAAUGGGCGCAAGCCUGAUGCAGCCAUGCCGCGUGUAUGAAGAAGGCCUUCGGGUUGUAAAGUACUUUCAGCGGGGAGGAAGGUGUUGUGGUUAAUAACCGCAGCAAUUGACGUUACCCGCAGAAGAAGCACCGGCUAACUCCGUGCCAGCAGCCGCGGUAAUACGGAGGGUGCAAGCGUUAAUCGGAAUUACUGGGCGUAAAGCGCACGCAGGCGGUCUGUCAAGUCGGAUGUGAAAUCCCCGGGCUCAACCUGGGAACUGCAUUCGAAACUGGCAGGCUUGAGUCUUGUAGAGGGGGGUAGAAUUCCAGGUGUAGCGGUGAAAUGCGUAGAGAUCUGGAGGAAUACCGGUGGCGAAGGCGGCCCCCUGGACAAAGACUGACGCUCAGGUGCGAAAGCGUGGGGAGCAAACAGGAUU
rnacentral:rRNA from 1 species